rnacentral:miRNA from 1 species
AUGUAUGUGUGCAUGUAUGCAUG